CUGAACUUAAGCAUAUCAAUAAGCGGAGGA
rnacentral:ncRNA from 27 species